rnacentral:lncRNA from 1 species
UCAAUUAAUUUAGUAAAUCUUCAUAAUACUCCCUAAAUUGGUUGACUAACCACUAUAAAAUUGCUAUUCUCUAAAAAACGGAGACAACAAAGGUUCCAGACCUCUUUGACCUUCAUCAUAUGUUAGUAAAGGAUGCAACUAUGCAUUAAAAUAGAAUUUUCGUUUUUGUAAAAUUUUUUUCAAAAUCUAUGGAUUAACCCCUACGAACAUAUUGAAUUUUUCGGUAAAUGCUCAAUAUACUGAAGCAUAU